CCGGCAGUAGUACCUACUUUUUAAAGUGUAAGCAAGGAAAGUUGGCCCGCACCUGUAGUCCCAUCUACCUGGGAGGCUGAGGUGGAAGAAUUGCUUGAGCCCAGUUGGUCGAGGCUGCAAUGAGCCUUGAUCACGCCACUGCACUCCAGCCUGGGCAACAGAACAAGACCCUGUCUCAAACAAAAAAGUGUAUGUAAGAAUAAAAAUUAAUAGAUUAGGCACAGGAUGGGUGUUUAAUUCUCGGCAAUCACCACUAAGUUUUCAUACUGAGGCUUAUUCAUUCCAUGGGCAAAACAUUGCGCUAUGUGUGGUGCCUGGGGUGGGCUCCAAAUUCCAGUCCUCUCCUCGCUUGCGAUAGCUGUGUGAUCCAUUCCUAAGUUUCCUUAUUUGUCCACAGAGCGUACACAGGGUUUUUAUGAAAACUAGAUCAGAUAAUCAGACACAGUUAAAAUAGCACGCGCUCAGUAAAAUUACAUAUUAGUGGAAGAGACAAGCCUUGAAUAAAUCGCCUUUCGGGGAGUAUGACCCCCUCCCCGAAACCCACUCAGGCGCUGCUCGCUCGCACGCCCACUGAGCUCGGAGCGGAGCCCGAGCCCUUUCCCAGCACACAGGGUUCAUUUCCAGACUGAAAGACAUCCCAGAGACAACUCCAGAGGCCAAGGCGGGUCGGCUUCCUGCGUGGGCCCAGCGCCGGGCACUGAAAGCGCCCUUUCUCCCCGCCGCAUUCCCGGUGUCGACUUACUAGCUGCAAGCCUCUGCCUGCCUUCCUGCGCGCCGUUCCCCGCUAGUCGCUGCUGCUGGCGCGCACUCGCCGGGUUUUUCCUCCCACGGCCUCGAGAUGGUGGUGAAUGUGGCACGGAGGAGCCGGGCCUUCCAACCCGGUGGGCCCGAGCUCCGAAAGGCCCCCUCGGCAGUGAGAGGGGCGGGAGCCCGCGGGGGCCGCGCCCUUCUCUCGCUUCGGACUGCGCAACGCUGCGCUCUGGGCUGACAGGCGGAUAAAACGGUCCCAUCAAGACUGAGAAAAAGCACACCAGCUAUUGGCACAGCGUGGGCAGUGGGGCCUACAGGAUGACUGACUUAGUCUACAGAGAUCCCGGCGUACUUAAGCAGGUAGUAAUGAUGGACAGGUGAGGCUUUAGGCGGCCGCCCUGGGAUCUGAAUUGCCCCUUGGCCCUUAUCGAAGCUGCAGCUGCUUCCGCAUAGCUGCUGUGGUCAAAAAGGAGCCCAGAGUGACAGUUUUCCUUGACGGUCGCCGUUCUGUUUGUUGUAACUGAUCUGCAACAUUUUGGGAAAAUACAGUUCCAUUGUACCUGCCACCUUUCAGCUGUAGCCAGAGACCUUUAUCAAAAUGGGCUUGUUUCCACAGAACAGCAGAACGGUUGGGGGUUUGCAUGUACAGUUAACCAGCAUAAGACUCGUACUGGGAAAAUCCAGCUGGGAUGUGACACAGCUUAACUGAUAGCUUAAGGCAUCAGUAUUGGGACCAAAGGCUGGUCAGAUUUGUAUCAUUCUGAGGACCAAAUGAUGGGAACAAUAAAAUUGUUCAUGACAGUUGUUCUCAUUUUGCUGUCCAGAUGAAGACUCUUAAGAUGACAGAAGGUGAUUUUUCUGGUGAUCGAGGACUUCCGGGGUAAUGACAGUGAUGAAAUGCAGGGGACCUGGUUGCCCCCAAGUUUCCUGGCAGUGUGUGAUACUGAGGAGGUGAGCUUGUUUCUGGAGCUGUGCUUUAAGGUAAAGUUGAUCAGCUUAAUCCUCCUGAUCCCUUUCCCAUCGGAUCUGAACACUGGUCUUGGUGGUCGUAAAAGGAGGAAAAGUAAUAGUGAAGCUGGCCUAAAUGUUGUAAUCUGGUAUAUGGCAUGUGGGCUAGUUUCAGACAGGUUUCAGAGAUGGUUGGAUCUCUGAAAUUGUAAAAUGAAGUAUAAUCUUAGGCUAAGGGAAGGAUGCGUGUGAAGCUCUGGAGGUUGGUAUAGUAAUAGCUGACCUAUUACUGCAUUUGGGAGGGAUCUGUCAUAGCUUCCUUGCCUCUUAAUUAAGGGUGGUGUUUUUUUCUUUUAGAUUCAUGUUACAUGUAAAGCUGUCCUCAUUUGUGACUAUGGACCUAUGGAGUUGGGACAAUCUCUAUGGGAAGCAGAAGGCAAGGACCCCGGUCAUUUUAGGUAGAAACAACAGCAUGCUAAUGCAAAAAAUUAUGCAGUGUGCUACUGAACUUCAGAGGUGAUCAAUAAAAGAAGAAUAAAAAGACUAAUAAAAGUAUAUUUGUGUUUGUAUUUUUUUGUAGAGACCGAACUGGUCUCUU
rnacentral:lncRNA from 10 species